rnacentral:snRNA from 1 species
UUUGGGCUCUCUAUAUACUA